CUGCACUCCAGGUGGACAAUAACUCAAGGGGCAUGAGGAAUUCAAAGUGGACUAAAGGCAGUUUUAAUUGGGAAUUCAGUGGAACCAUUGUUGCUGUCUUCUUGUGGAGCAUUCUUCUCUUUGGAACUAACACCUCUAGACCAGCAGAGAAUAAAGCAACAGGGGCACGAAACAUAAAAUUUUGCUGGUAAAUCACUGAGGAUAAUAAAUCACUGCCACUUCCAUUUCCAUCCAUUGAUUUCUACACUCAUGAUUCCUGGCUAUGGGAGCAACAACACCAUAUACUGGAUGCUGCUUUAGAGCAAAGGGCCUCCUGGAGAACAUUGCCUCAGACUUGCAAGGUAUUGGCACCUGGGUGUCACUAUACUGAGUCUUCAAAAGGCUCUUCCACCAUUCUAUCAAGCCAUCUGCUUCAGGAUAAUGGGGAACAUGGUAUGACCAGUGAAUUCCAUGAGCAUGGGCACACUGCUGCACCUUGUUUCCUGUGAAGUGAGUUCUUUGAUCAGAAGCGAUGCUAUUGGAAAACCAUGAUGUUGAACAAGGUGGUGUCUCACCAUGUUGCCCAGACUGGUUACAAACUCCUAGGCUCAAGCGAUUCGCCUGCCGUGGCCUCCCAAAGUGCUUGGAUCACAGGAAUGAACCACUGUGCCUGGCCAGGUGAUUUUAAUUCUAAUCUAAUGCACAAUCUGUCUCUUCUGACGUAUCAUGAACUUUGUAUUUAAAUAAAUACUUACUAAGGAGUUGGUUCUGUAAAUGCCUUUUAACAAAAGACCAUCGGAAACAUACCUGUAGUUGUUCUAUUUACUGCUAAUGGGAAAGUGCUAAUCAUGGGGCAUCUCGGUUACAGAUGUUAAAAAAGGCUUAUACAAUGAUUUACACUUGCCGUAGAUGGU
rnacentral:lncRNA from 1 species